UGAUCAGUCACACUGGCUUUACUGCUGACGGUCGGCCGUCUGGUUGGUGUGUCUGCAGCUUCAUCAGUUAGGUAUCUUACAGACCUUCAGUAACAGUUCCACCUCGUCGUUGCUCCAAGAUAAUAAAUCCCCGCUCUUACUUUUCACCGUUGUUGUUCUUUCUCCAAAGUAUUUUCUGUAUUUUCAACUUCUACAUCCAUGAUUUUCAACCGCAGAGUAACGUCAGACAAUCUGCUUCCUGUUUACACCGUGAAUGCUCAUGUACAGGGCUUUAAAUGAACUUCUUUUGAUUACCAGCCAACAUGGCUAGUAGAUUUUUAAAGUUACCAGCCAAUUAGACUUUUCCCUAGCCACAUGUUUGUUUUUGUUUUUUCCCUAACUAACUUUACUUUAAUCUCAGCUCCUCUGGUUUGUUUCCCGCCGUUCUGUUCGUCUUCUCUGUUUCAGCGUAGCUCGUAAUAGAUACCUCACGCUCACACGUCACAACAUACUGCUCAUGGAAAAUGUAGGAUCAGUGGGAGCAUGCCUGUUCCCACAGCCCUAUGUGCCCACAUUUCUAAGAUUUCUUUCCAAAAUUAGGCCCUAUGUGCCCACAUUUCUAAGAUUUCUUUCCAAAAUUAAGCCCUAUGUUCCCACAUUUCCUUUUUUUCUUUUAUCAGAUUUUAUUCCCCUUUCUCUCAAUUUAGUAGCCAAUUACACCCAACCUAUUAUCCAGUAGCAAUGGACUACAGAUGGAAUGUUACCCUAACCCUAACAUAGAGCCUAAUUUUUAAGAAAAAUCUUAGAAAUGUGGGAACAUAGGGCUGUGGGACCAUUGGGCUGACCCCGAAUCAGUACUACAAGCAGCGUUGUCAGAUAAAGAUUAUGUUUCCAAGCCAAACGGCCCAAAUUUUUUGCCGGAAAACAGACCAAUCUGGUGACAUUUUUGCAGCCGGCCGAUUCAAACAGAUACAGUUAUGUAGAGUUAUUUGCUUCAUUCAUCACCGGCCAAAUCGGCUACUAACUUUACAAUGUUACCCGACAAAUCAAUGUAAAGCCCUGGUCAUGUGAUAUGUGAUGUCAGACGUGUUAAUGCGGACGGAGAUUAGUUGUGCUGCUGGAGCUGAAACUCUUGUGUAGACGAAGAUCGUUUUUUGUCUCAAAAACGCCGCUUAAAAAUGAAAACGUAGCAGUGUAGAUGUAGCCUUAACUCUUUUCUAUUUAUGCAGAUGUACAGUAUAUUGUGUAAUGUUACAUGUGAAGGAAAAGUGCCAGUCUUUAUUUAAGAAUGAUGUGAUGUUUUUUUCUUUUUCUUUACACUUUAAAUGUAUAAUAUGCAAUCCAAUAGUGCCCAGUUUUAUAAAACGGAGCACUCUUAGUGUCAGUGAUACAGUAGUAGAGUAAAACACAAAGCCAGGAGUAGAUAUGUUGAGAGAAUAUUUUAGUGUGUGAGGUCUUGUUUGUUUCUUGUGUAGUACAGAAAAAAAAAGAUCUCGAUCAGACCUGUCUUAGGCUGCCACCUCGUGGACGAUAUGUCUCAUUACACCAACAGUACUGAGGCGCAGAGAAAGAAGGGUGUACAUUUUGCCUGGGGAUCUUUCCAUUUCAUACAUUAUUAUUCGGAUGCAUAAUUCUUUUGUUGACGACCACAUUCAGAUCAAUUCCAGACGAGUUGUUCAGUAUGAGCUCUUUAGACGUCAUCCUAAUGUUGGAUCUGUGUUUUUUUUCUGUGUGAUGUGAGAAAAUUGCACUUUAUUUUGUGUCAAAUAUUAAUUUUUUUUUUACUUAUUGCUCAUGUAUAUUUAUUUGAUCGUUUUUCUAUUCUAUUUAUUAAACUUUUUUUUAUUUAUUCAAGUGUUUUUUACAUGUCAUCAGUGAGUGAAUUUAUGUUUUACUACUGAAAUUAGUUAUUUAUAAAUUUUACAUUUUAGACUGAGAAAUCUACCAAAAUCUGCGUAGCUGCCCUGUUGUGUGCCGUUUUGACGCUCAUUCCUAAUGUCUGAAGUUGUGAUGUUGCUGUCAUGUCCAUCUUUGUCCAAAUGUUUGAUUUCUUGAUUUACAGCAACAACUUUCUCUGACUGUUGUUGUCCUUUACAUACAUUGCUACAUAUUUAUUAGCCACUGUUGUGAAAAAAAAACAAUGCAAAAAAAAGCCCAUAGUGCAGAAAUGUAAUAAAAUGCAGAGAAACCGA